GACGUAGGGGGCAAGCGUUGUCCGGAAUCAUUGGGCGUAAAGAGCGUGUAGGCGGCUUGGUAAGUCCGCUGUGAAAGUCCAGGGCUCAACCCUGGAAUGCCGGUGGAAACUGUCAAGCUUGAGUCCGGAAGAGGCGAGUGGAAUUCCUGGUGUAGCGGUGAAAUGCGCAGAUAUCAGGAGGAACACCAAUGGCGAAGGCAGCUCGCUGGGACGGUACUGACGCUGAGACGCGAAAGCGUGGGGAGCAAACAGG
rnacentral:rRNA from 1 species